rnacentral:lncRNA from 12 species
CUGGGGGGGAGCCACCAGGAAGGACAGACUGGUAUUCUCCAUUGCAGGCUGGUGCCGCUGUCCACGGCUGGGAUCAGAACAGAGUGGUAACUGCCACAGCCCUCGCAGAAUGCUCUCCGGAUGCCAGGCACCUUCUCAACACUUCCAAUCCUAACCAUGCCCCAUCUGGCACAUGAAGAUCAGAAGCAGACAUCGUUAGCCUCGUGUGAUCGCCGAGGACACGGAGAGUGGGUAAGGCAAGGAGUCACUCCUAGGUCUGUGUGGCUUGGAGGCCCAUCCCCUGUCGGCUACUCACAACCUUGGAAGAAGUACAAGUUUGGCUUUGGGUUCUUGCACUCAAGCUCCGAGGCUGGGUUCUGGGACAACUUCCUUCUGGAAAUGCGAGCUGGCCGUUCCCCAGGCACACCAUCUCUACCAUUCCUGCGAUAUUCUCACAUGGCGUGGGAGAGACCCGGAUCAACCAGGUUGUCGGGUGGGCAGAGCUCGGAUGAAUUAUCAGGAACUAUGAAGGUCCACACUUAGAUGGAGGACACCUUCCAGCUUCUUUUCUGCUAGGCCCCUUGCCCGAGUAAACCCCCGCUUCCACAAUGUUGCUCGAGGAUUCCAAAACCAGAAGGCAUGUUCCGCCUGGACAGACAUGGAACUUUCUUCUGCUUUGACAGGGGAGACCCAGCUACUCCUUGUGGAGGCCCCUGGAUGCCUCAGCCUGGAGGAUGGUGGAAAUGGCAGAUGCAGCUGGUGACACAGGCCCCUAGGCACUGUGGGAAGAGGUGGUGGCUUCUCGGCUGGCCCAUCCAAAUCCAUGACAACCCUAGCUCUGUGCCAGGGACACAUGCUCAUUCACCAAACUUCAAAGAAGUCAGGUCCGAGCCUGACCCCGACACCUGUCUGGCCACCAGAUGACGAGGCUAGAAACUCAGGAUUUUUUUUUUUUUUUAAACCACUCAACAUAAAAGCCUUGGGUUUUUAUUAUUUUUGUUCUCCUCUCAAUACAUUCCUGGAAACACAGGAAAGCAAAGGCUGGAUGCAUGCUGUUGUUCUGAGGCAACACCCGUCAGUCACAUAGGAGUGCAGGCUUGGUGGCGGCGGUGGUGGGGUGCUCCGGGGCGGCUCAGUCAUCAAGAGUCAGAUGCUCAGCUUUCUGGCCACAAGCUUUAUGUGGGGCUCUGUGCUCAGCAGGCAAUCUGCUUGAGAUUCUUCUCCUCGCUCCCUUUCAAAUAAGUCAAUUUUUAAAACUUUAGGGAAGUGCAAGCUUGGGAGACAGACCUGGACUCCAAUCCUGGACCCCCUUUGUGGUCUUGUACCUGGAAGAUGGGGGUAGGGGGGCUUACUCCUAUGAUAACCUCACUAGGAAGAGCCUGACCCUGUGCCUGGCCGAUGGGGGAACAUUUGGCUUUAUCUUCAGCUGCAGGGAUUGGUCCGCUGCUCCCCAGAACAGCAAGCCCAGGCUGGCCAAUGUGGGGAAUGAACCAGGAUGCAUGUGAAGACUUAAUACCAGUCUACCUAAUUGAGUUUCCUGGACUCUAGAUCAGUGGUUCCCAUGGGAGCUAAAUUGGCCUCAGUUGAGAUAUUUGACCAUUUUUAGUUGGCACAGCUCCCAGAGUGGGAGUUGGCAGGAAGUUGUUAACUGGCAUCUAGUGGGGAGCGAUCAGAGAUGCUAAG